AUUCCCGUGGGAGCCGGUAGAAAAAACAAAAAAAACUGCGUGACAAAACCUAAUCCUUCCCACGAUCACACCCCACCCAUUUAUCCUCUGCCGCCGUUCCCCACGGACGCCAUGGCUGUCGCAGCCUCCCGAUCUGCGACGCCGCCUACCACAGUCUCCACUCGCGCUGCGAUGUCCGCGGUCUCCACUCAGAUCAAUCCGCCGUUGACCCCGUAUCCUCCCUCCCGAUGGGAUCCGGCCUCCACCACUGUCCACGGGGCAACCGGAUGUCGGGAUCCACCACUCCUCGGCCGCCGAUUAGCCUCCAUGACCGCGCCUCGCCAAUGCUUGCUUCCCCGCAUCCUGCCCUUCAUCGAUAUGGACUCAUGCUCCUCGACCCCAUAGUGCCGUGCUGGACGCGUGCUCCACAGCUGCACAUCCCCUCCUCGUCGAGCCCUGGCGCAGACGCGUGGGUGUUGCUGUUCUGGUUGGUAAUCGUCGUUCAGUGAACAUUGUAUUUCCGAUGUUUUUCACUACUCAGCUUUUCUUUUUCACUGUCAGAUGUCCUACCUGUGCAGGCAUGAACACACCUAUCAGAUGUCCUACUCCUACCUGUGUAGGCACGAACACAUGUAUAUGAAUGAUUAAUGGCUGCUGCCUUGAACCAUUAGCACAUUAGUGUUGCCUGCGUUGAUCAAACGUUUGCCCUGUAUAGCCUGCUCAUCAUCGACGGCGGCGGCAAGAUAAGCAGGCUCGAGAUAAUCGCGCUGCUCCACUCGCUCGGGGUCUGUGCGCACGGGACGAGAUCAGCUUGGUGAUGGUAAAUGCACCGUCAAGUUCGACGGGGUCGCCCUCUCCUUCGCAGCUUCUCCUCUAACCUUGUCCCUCCUCCAUCUCCGUCGACCACUAGCAGGUCGCCGAGGCCUUCCACGCAUUUGACCAAGACAACAGCGGAUACAUCUGAACUGCCCAGCUCGUGUGCUCCAUGAUGGCAUUACAAGUGGCUGGAGGAAUGGUGUAUGCUCACAAGUUGUUUCACCCAGACAAGAAUCCCACAAAACUUAAUGUGGUCUGGAAGUUUCAGGGAUAAUACGAUCGACCCAAUAGUUAGCUUUGGGAUGCUUUUUGGGGUCGACUCAUGAAGAUGAUGGCUAGCUUGCACCAACAUUUGUAGCUUCUGUAUAAAUGAUUCAGAUAGUCUACAAGUAAGGGAAAUGAUUAUAGGGAAUAAAUAGCUCAACGACGGCGAUUCAAGCACCGAUGCGGGUGACCUAGCCAUUUGACGCCACCGACUCGACCUACGCAAGCGGCAUCACGGAGGGCAUGGAGCUCCUGGCCUCCCAAGGACGCCGCCGGGCUCGUCUCGUUAGCCCGCCAUGGUUGCAAUAUAGAAACCCUUAAUGACACGUGUCCCUUUUUCCCUCCGCGUUGCUUCUGUGUAUCAAAACCCUAGAAAACUCCUCUCCAAACACGCGAUCGAUUCCGUUCAUAUACAUCUGAUGGUUUAACAAAGAUGCAACAAAUUUCAUUUUGUAGUUUUGCCUGUGGAGGUGAUUGUCAUUGAAAAGCAUACUUUUUUGAAUGGAUGUUACUUGCCAACUCGGAUGCCUCUUUAUAUUUUUAAAAUUGUUCGUAAACCAUGGGUGCGACUUCAUUGUUUGCAAAACAUGGAUUAGACUUAUUUCGGCAUUGGUAGUGUGGAAAUUGACAUGGGAUGCACUAUACUGUUGCUUGUUCUUUGGCCAAUCCUAAACAUAAUUCUCUAUUUUUUAUGUGUCUCUAUGUUGAACUCGUACGGGGUUUCUUAGUAUGUAGGGAUAAUAAUAUGCAAAUUCAGUGAUACAUACGCAGAAUGUUUGUUUGUUCUCUUUAAGUAAUUAUACAGAUCAACAAUAUUAAAUAUUAGAUGACACAUUGGCCACAUCAUCCAGUAAAAGUGUUAACCCUAAUAAAUCAAGGACGGAUGCUGAUUCUAGACAUUGGUAGAAGCUAAUAAGUUACAUCCUUGAGUAAUACAAGAGAAUUAAUAUUUCGAUGUAGGUAAACCUAUCCAGCACGGUACACAAGCUCUUGUUAGUUGCACUAUAUUAGAAUUUUAACUUCCCAGAUUCGAUUUUUUUGUACCGAAGCUAAACCUAUCCAGCGUGUUUGACCUGAAGGAACUGACAUGGUUGUCAAAAAGACUAGAGGUAAAUUGCUUGGUACUUACACUGUUAUGUUACUGCUAUUAGUCAUUGCAUGUGAAAAAAUGUAAUGAAUAGACCCUUAUGUUUCAAGGUAUGUAUUUACUGAUAUUUUUUUAGUACUUUCUUGCGAGCGUGUAGUUUUAAAAAGAACAACACAAAGAACACAUAAUUCAUGACACAACUUUGGAUAUCAGUAUAAAAGGUUUUGCCGUGGAGUUUUAUGCGCCAUACUUUUGCGGCUUUUAUUGUGUCCUUUGUUAUAUUCUUUUUUAUUAGAACUAAAAGUUAGCAUGCCGGAAAUGUGGGUUUAAGCCCUGGCCGUCUUCAGUUGACAAAAUUACCCUACUUUUUGUAUCACAUUUGGAGGAUCUGUCAUUUUGAGAAAGUCAUUAUCUCAACUGCAACCAGGCAGUUUGGCCAAAGAUGUAGGAUGAUCUAGUUCUUUUGGACUCCAAUUUUUUGGAUUGGUACUUUUGAAUUUCUUUCGUAAACGAAUGUGGAGAAUGGGAGAGGAUCUGCAGUUAUAAAAAUUUGUGCAUGGAGUUUUUUUAAGAUCCUAUUGUUGUUUGUCUUUUUCCACUGUAACUGUUCACUAAUUAUGAAAUGAUUUUUCUUUCUUUUGGAUUGAUUGGACUGUCCGACAAGUGGAUUCGUGGGACUAUCUGAGAAGAUGAAACAACUAACAGUUGUUUUACAACAGGACAAUUGCUCCUGAGAGGUGGAACACUUGGAUGGUGGGUACAUUAAAGCAGAUCAAGUCUCUGAGGCCCUCAUGAUGACAUGGAGCAAUCUUAAAGGAGAGUCUACGAUAUGAAGUUUGGUCUUAAAAGGAGAGUCUACGAUAUGAAGUUUGUGUUUGAGUCAAAUACUAUUGGGCAGAUAGGUCUCCUUAUGUUGACAACACUGAAAUGGAGAAUGCAGGUCAUGUUGUCAUCCUCUUUGGAUAAAUUUGGUUAUGGAACCCCUUGAGGUCAAACACUAAGCUUGCGGUGUGCUGAGAACAAAAUGUUGCCAUUAUCAAAUGUUCCAUUAACAUUA